AAACUCUGGUUUCUCUUCAGCUCAUAUAAAUCUUUUGCUUUUUACUAAAGAUUUCCAUGGAGAGGAACAAGUAUGAGUGUCAAUGAAUUUUUUUAUGCUCUACUUUGGUAGAGCU